rnacentral:rRNA from 1 species
AGUGAACGCUGGCGGUAGGCCUAACACAUGCCAGUCGAACGGCAGCACAGUAAGAGCUUGCUCUUACGGGUGGCGAGUGGCGGACGGGUGAGGAAUACAUCGGAAUCUACUUUUUCGUGGGGGAUAACGUAGGGAAACUUACGCUAAUACCGCAUACGACCUACGGGUGAAAGCAGGGGAUCUUCGGACCUUGCGCGAUUGAAUGAGCCGAUGUCGGAUUAGCUAGUUGGCGGGGUAAAGGCCCACCAAGGCGACGAUCCGUAGCUGGUCUGAGAGGAUGAUCAGCCACACUGGAACUGAGACACGGUCCAGACUCCUACGGGAGGCAGCAGUGGGGAAUAUUGGACAAUGGGCGCAAGCCUGAUCCAGCCAUACCGCGUGGGUGAAGAAGGCCUUCGGGUUGUAAAGCCCUUUUGUUGGGAAAGAAAAGCAGCAGGUUAAUACCCCGCUGUUCUGACGGUACCCAAAGAGUAAGCACCGGCUAACUUCGUG